rnacentral:rRNA from 1 species
CCCGGGUCUUGUACACACCGCCCGUCAAGCCACCUGAGUUGGGAGCACCCGAAAUCGGUCCUCUAACCCGCAAGGGAAGAAGCCGCUUAAGGUGAAACCAGUGAGGAGGGCU